GGGGAAUAUUGCACAAUGGGCGAAAGCCUGAUGCAGCAACGCCGCGUGAGUGAUGACGGUCUUCGGAUUGUAAAGCUCUGUCUUCAGGGACGAUAAUGACGGUACCUGAGGAGGAAGCCACGGCUAACUACGUGCCAGCAGCCGCGGUAAUACGUAGGUGGCAAGCGUUGUCCGGAUUUACUGGGCGUAAAGGGAGCGUAGGUGGAUAUUUAAGUGGGAUGUGAAAUACUCGGGCUUAACCUGGGGGCUGCAUUCCAAACUGGAUAUCUAGAGUGAAGGAGAGGAAAGUAGAAUUCCUAGUGUAGCGGUGAAAUGCGUAGAGAUUAGGAAGAAUACCAGUGGCGAAGGCGACUUUGUGGACUGUAACUGACACUGAGGCUCGAAAGCGUGGGGAGCAAAC
rnacentral:rRNA from 1 species